GGGUUAGGGUUAGGGUUAGAGGUAAGAGUAGGAGUAGGGUUAGGGUUGGGUUAGGAUUAGGGUUAGGAGUAGGGUUAGGGUAGGGUUGGGGUUAGGAGUAGGGUUAGGGUUGGGUUACCAAACCCUAAGCCUAACCCUGCUCCUAACUCUACCCUAACCCUACUCCUAACCCAAACCUAACCCUAGCCCUACUCCUAACCCAACUCUAACCCUACUCCUAACCCAACCCUAACCCUACUCCUACCCAAACCCUACCCCUAACACUACUCCUAACCCUACCCCAACCC